UCUCUGUUAGUAUAUCGGUUAGUACACGCGCCUGUCAUGGAGCGUCAGUAUCCUGAAAUGUUACGCGCGAAAGCUGGGUUCGACUCCCAGACAGAGAG